GAUUGCCGUGACGACUCUGGAAAAUUCAAGCUCAACAGACCGGAUAGCAGGUCUCUCAUCGAGGGAUCUGUAUGUCGAUUAUCCCGCUGAACUGAGCAAUC